rnacentral:rRNA from 1 species
AUGGCUGCAACAAUAAUUGAUGAGCAGGAUGUCCUGGAGCCACUCACAGGUUGGCAGCAACUAGUGUUUGCUGGUAAUCAUCAUCAUGAGUGUCGGUUCACAUCUGUCACCACCGUGUUUGAGUUAAGAAACAUGGAUGAGCAGUCACUCCCUUUCUUUCCUCGCUUCCUUCCAUGCAAACAAAAUUUCCCUUUCACCCUUGGUAACGACAUUUAUGUCGAUACUAUUGGAAUGGUGAUGCAAGUAAGCCCAAUGACAUUUGAGGAUAACUUCUACCACAGAAGAAUCUCAUUUAUAGAUGUUCAACUUAUGGAUGACAAGUAUCUUUGA